rnacentral:rRNA from 1 species
GGCAGGGACGAAAGUCGGAGAUAGUGAUCCGGUGCCGGCGCACGGGCGCGGCAUCGCUCAACGGAUAAAAGGUACCCCGGGGAUAACAGGCUGAUCAUUCCCAAGAGUCCAUAUCGACGGGAUGGUUUGGCACCUCGAUGUCGGCUCGUCGCAUCCUGGGGCUGGAGCAGGUCCCAAGGGUUCGGCUGUUCGCCGAUUAAAGCGGCACGCGAGCUGGGUUCAGAACGUCGUGAGACAGUUUGGUCUCUAUCCUCUGCGCUCGUUGGAAUCCUGAGGAGGCCUGCCCAUAGUACGAGAGGACCUGGGUGGACGGACCUCUGGUAUGCCGGUUGUCGCGCCAGCGGCAUGGCCGGUUGGCUACGUUCGGGAGGGAUAACCGCUGAAAGCAUCUAAGCGGGAAGCCUGCUCCAAGAUUAGGAUUCCUUGACGCUCCCCGGAGCGUCCGAAGCCCGCAUGUUGAACACGUGUUCGAUAGGCCGGAGGUGGAAGCCCCGCGAGGGGUGGAGCCGACCGGUACUAACGGGCGAACGCGGCACACUU